GACGAACGCUGGCGGCGUGCCUAAUACAUGCAAGUCGAACGCAGUGGGGACGGGUGAGUAACACGUGGGUAACCUCCCAUCAGAGGGGAUAACACUUGGAAACAGGUGCUAAACCGAUACUGAUGGAUGGACCCGCGGUGCAUUAGCUAGUUGGUGAGGUAACGGCUCACCAAGGCCAAGAUGCAUAGCCGACCUGAGAGGGUGUACGGCCACACUAGGACUGAGACACGGCCCAGAAUCCGACGCGAGGCAGCAGUAGGGAAUCUUCGGCAAUGGACGCAAGUAUGACCGAGCAACGCCGCGUGAGGGAAGAAGGUUGUCGGAUCGUAAUACUCUGAAGGUAGGGAAGCGGUAUCUAACCAGAAAGCCACGGCUAACUACAUGCCAGCAGCCGCGGUAAUUC
rnacentral:rRNA from 1 species